GUGUAUUCACUUAAUGAUGGAUGAAAUACUCUCUAUAUAUCCAUUAAGUCUAAAUCAUUGAUUGUAUUAUUUAGUUCUAUGGUUUCUUUGUUUAGUUUUUGUUUAGAAGAUCUAUCCAGUGGUGAGAGAGGUGUGUUAAAGUCACCCAGUAUUAUUGUGUUGUGGUCCAUUUGAUUCUUGAAAUUGAGAAGGGUUUGUUUGAUAUAUGUAGAUGUUCCAUUGUUUGGGGGACAAAUAUUUACAACUGUUAUAUCUUGGUGAUGUAUGAUUAUUAUGUAUAAAAUGUCCCUCUUUAUCCCUUCUGACUAACUUUGGUUUGAAGUUUAAAGUUUACUUUAUCUGAUAUGAGGAUGGAAACCCCUUCUUGUUUACACACUCCAUAUGAGUGGUAUGUUUUUUCCUCAACCUUUCACCUUCAGUCUGUGGAUGUCUUUUCCUAGGAGUUUAGUCUCUUGAAGAUAGCAUAAUGUUGGGUAUUUUUAAAAAAUCCAAUCCACCAGUCUGUGUCUUUUGACUGAUGAGUUUAGGACAUUAACAUUCAGGGUUAUUAUGGAGAUAUGAUUUGU
rnacentral:lncRNA from 1 species